AGCCACGCUGGUCCACUGCUGAGCCUGCGGCCACGCAAACAGGGUGGGAGCCAAGGGCGGAAGGCAGCAGCCGCGUCACGGCCGGGGAACCGAGGGGGGGCGCCCCCCUUCCAGCUUCUGCCACUAACAGAUCAGUAACCCCCGGCAUUGGUGUAACCAGCGCGCGCCCAAUGCAGUCGUAUUCCUCGAAUGCGCGCACCGCCCGCCACACUUGGAGAAUCCAGCCCACAGAGGUUUCGGAAACCCCAUUUUCCUGAUUGCAGCCCAGACUCUGGAACCCCGCAAGCCUUCCGGGGAAGCGAGCCCAAUCCAGACCAAGCAGACCUCUGGCGCUGCCGGGUUCGUACAACCACUAAAGCAGCGUCAUCUUGAGAGUUAUUUUGGGGAAAAAGACCUGGGACCUGGGUUUGAGUUAAAGACGUUAGAGGCAAGGGACAGAUGGCCCAGCAUUUCUUUGGAACGAGGCAGAACUGAGAACUACCCAGCUGGACCAGCAUUGCCGAAAACUGGAGAUUAGGAAAUGUAUUCUCCUCGCACACACAGUAGCACACAUCUCCUCCGACGGCGAGUUCACCCCUACGCCAGGGGCCUCUGGCUCCGCCGCUGCGUUUCCCAGACGCCCUUUCGGCCUUCUCCAGGUUUUGCCAGGCAAAUGAAACGAGCAGAACUCGAUGGUAAAUUAUUUUGUUCAGCCUUCCGUCUUUUUAUAAAAAUAAAAGGCAACACUUUGUCAUUUUUAAUCAUAUAAGCAGACAAUAAACCUAAUUUUGAUAUU
rnacentral:lncRNA from 1 species